UCUGCAUUUGAAAGGGCCCAAUACCUGGCUAGGGUGGAAGAACAGGAUGCUGCAGGGCUCUGAUCCUUCCUGCAGAAGGGGAGAGUCCACCUUGACAAAUCUAAUCUUUACAUUGUAAGAUCCCCUGUGACAAGGUUUCUCCUCUUGUUUUACUAGUGAACACUUUUCAUGGAAAUAUGUAAUUAUAGACCCCCUCCAGAUCAUAAGUUUUGUAAGACGUAUGAAAAAAAGGUGACUUUCGGUUAAAAUCUUUUAAGAACAGGAUGGUAUUUUUAUUUUUAGGCCAGGCGUGGUAAUUUUUUUUUUUUUUUCUAAUCCAAACGCACUUCUCUUUAUUCAAACCAGGGUCAAACUAGUCAAUGGGAAACACCCUGAAGCCACGUGCCUGGGGAGAUGGCCUCCUACUUGGCCCACACGGCCGUGGGAUUCAGACCGCCAGUGUCCGCAUGGCUGGCUGUGCGCAGCCCCCAAAGUGUACCUCAGACACUACCAAGCAGGUCAGUCGAUGACAGCCCCUUGCUGUCCGCUUGUGGAGGUGGGGUCUGUUUUGGAACUCCUGAUUCAGCUGGCAGGGAGCGGUCCCCCUCAAGUGCUGCCGAGAAAACAAGAUUACUUCCUUAACAACAAGCAUGUGGGGAGAAACGUUCCAUAAGGCGGCUAUGAUUGCUACAACCUGAGUGUGUUGGAGAGAGAUCUCCAGAGAGGAGUAUUUGUGUCACAACAUGAUCCAGGAUACACUUCAGGUUAUGGAGGCUACUUCAGGCUCCUGCCUGCCCACCGUCUGGCUCUUCUCAUUUGGUGACCCUUGUGGGGACAAGUUCAAGACAGACACCCGAGUCUCACUCUUUGGUGUGCUUGUACACAGCUCCGCCUACGGCAUGGAUGUCCGACUGGACUUGCCCCCCAUGCCGGACAAUGCGGACAACUCUGGGCUGGCCAUUAAGGUCCCACAGAGUAUAGAUCAGUGGGAAGAUGAAGGAUUCUAGUCAGCAUCCAACCUGACUCCUGAUUCCCAGUCUGAGCCCAGCGUGACCCCAGACAUGGACCUGUGGGAAGCCGCACUCACCUACGAGGCCAGCAAGAAGAGGUGCUGGGAGUGAGCUGGAUGCCUGCCUGGUCACAGAGAGGAGCCUCACCUGACAGAGGCAGGAAGGGAGGCUUUCCACAAGUUCUGCAGGCUUCAUCACAGGGAGCUACAGCUGCUUGCAGGGGGCAUCCUGCAGGCCCCACAGCCCGUGCUGGUGAAGGAGUGCGAGCUGGUGAAGGAUGUGCUGAACGUCUUGAUUGGGGUUGUGUCUGCCAUGUUUUCCCUCUGCCAGCUGGCUCAGGCCUUUGUGGUAAAGCGGGGCAUCCAUGUGUCAGGAGUGUCUCCCAAGAGCGUCAGCAGCCUCCUCUUGGAGGUGGCCGAGUAUGGGACCUGCUACAUGUACCUGAGCCACUUCUCUCUGCAGCCCAUCCUGGACUCCUCGUACAGCAAGGGCCUUGUGUUCCAGGCCUUCACCAGUGGCCUGAGGAGGUACCUGCAGUAUUACUGGGCCUGACUCCUCGCCACUCUGCCCACCCUGAGCCUCCUCACCCUUGGUUUUCUCUUCAAGAAACUGGGCCGGCAGCUCAGGUACCUGGCCGAGCUCUGUGGUGUUGGUGCUGCACUCCCAGGCACCUGCGGAGGAGGGCCCAGGGCCGAGUUUCCCACUGGCAUGAAGCUGCUGUCCUACCUCUACCAGGAAGCGCUGCAUAACUGCAGCAAUGAACACUACCCUGUGCUGCUGUCCCUGCUGAAGACCAGCUGUGAGCCCUACACGCGCUUCAUCCAUGACUGGGUGUACAGUGGGGUGUUCACUAUGGCAAGUUCAUGAUUCAGGUGAACCAGGAGUACCUCAGCUUCCAAGAUAAGUCAUACUGGACCCAUGGCUACGUGCUCAUCUCCUGUGUUUCUGAAGCACAUUGCCCAUGACGUGUACGUCUGCAGGAAGACCAUCAACCUGCUGAAGCUCUGCUGUCUCCGGCAUUACCUCUGUUGGUCCGACGUCCCCGUCCCCUGGAUCUCAGUGAUUUUCUCCCUGGAGGAGCUGAAGGAGAUUGAGAAGGACUGUGCCGUCUAUGUUGGGCGCAUGGAGAGAGUGGCCCGCCACAGCUCUGUCAGCAAGGAGGAGAAGGAAUUACGUAUGGAAAUUGCAAAACAGGAAUUAAUCGCUCAUGCCCAGGAAGCAGCCUCCAGGGUCCUGAGUGCACUUAGUGAGCCGCAGAUGUCAGAGCGGAUGGCCUUGGAUGACUGGAAGUGCGAGCAGUUUCAGAGGCUGAAGGAACAGUUUGUGAAGGACCAGGAGCGACGCCAGGCGGCCAGGCAGGAGGAGCUGGAUGAUGACUUCAGCUAUGCCCGUGGGCUCCGAGACAGGGAGAGGAGGCUGAAGUCCCUGGAGGAGGAGCUGGAGAGGAAGGCGAGGCAGGCGCUGGUCAACCACUAUAGCAAGCUCUCUGCAGAGGCAGCUUGUCGGGAGCAGAAGGCGCUGUGGAGAAUCCAGAGGCACCGACUGGAGAGUGCACGGCUUCGCUUUCUCUUAGAAGAUGAGAAACACAUUCGGGAGAUGCUGAAAGCGAUGACUGAGGCUCACCAGCCCCAGGAGCCAUCAGACUUUCUGUUGAGCCCACACUCCCAGGUCACAUCUGGCCCUGAGCACCCAGACGGAGGCCAAGGCUGUGAUUCUGGGACUGCAGAGCAACACUCAGCUUCCUGUGAUUGUCCAAACAGGCCAGACCUGCGGACCCCACAGCCCCUUAAGCCUCUAGCAGUGGGAGCUGGUGGCACAGGGCUGCAGCAGGCAGAAGAGCCUGGGCCCUUCUCUGAUGGCCUCAGCAUUGGAGACUUCCUACCUGUGGGCCCAGGGGCUGAGCAGUCUGUGCAGACUGGCACAAUCCCUCUUUUGGAGGCAGUGCUACAGACCAUCAGCUCGGACCUGCCCGCCUCAGCUCCUGGGGAGGCACCCGCAGCAGCCAGCACUCAGCCCUCCAAGCCACAGGAGUACGACUUUAGUACUGUCCUGAGGCCGGCUGUGGCCGCCUCAUCUUCACCAGGGCCCCUCCAGGCUGCAGAGUGCAGCUUGGGCGGCUCAGGGCUGCAGCUGUGGGAGGACACUCAUGGGAAGCUGGAUGCCUGUGUCUCUGCCUUGCAGUGGCCCUGCCUCCCUCACACCCACCCAGGUGUGCUGCCCUGGAGGAGGGGAGCAGCCAGCACACAGAGCAGCUUUUUGGUCAUGUGUCAGGGGGUGGUGUUCCCACAAGGGGCUACAAUUCUGGAAUAGCUCCCGCUCAGCCAUGGUGGAACACCCAUGGGCACAUGUCCGAUGCCAGCACCAGGGUCGGGGAGCAAAUGUCAGAUAUGGCUCCCACCCAGCCACGGUGGAACAUCCAUGGGCAUGUGUGUGAUGCCAGCAUCAGGGUUGGGGAGAACGUGUCGGACGUGGCUCCCACCCAGCCACGUUUGAACAUCCAUGGACAUGUGUCCGAUGCCAGCAUCAGUAUUGGGGAGAAUGUGUCAGAUGUGGCUCCUACCCGGCCACAGUGGAACACCCAUAGGCACGUGUCCAAUGCCAGCAUCAGCUUGGGGAUGUGUGUUGGACAUGGCUCCCACCUGGCCAUGGUGGAACACCCAUGGACCUAUCCAUCCACCCCAUGUGAUGCUGGGGGCCCUCUCACCAGAAACUGAGCCCAACACACCCAGGCCCCAACAGAGCCUCCCUGGCCACACGUCCCAGUCAGCGCUCAGCCUGGGAGCACAGAACACUGCUCUGGACUGUGGGCCAUGGCUGCCUGUAGAAGUGGGACCAUCUCUCUCCCCCCAACAGCUUAGGCUGUGGGGAGGAGAGUGUCAGCAUGGGAGAGAAUAUGUUGGACGUGGCUCCCUCCUGGCCACAGUGGAACAUCAAGGGACAUGUGUCUAACCACACCAUCAG